rfam:Candidatus Roizmanbacteria bacterium RIFCSPLOWO2_02_FTLL_43_10 rifcsplowo2_02_scaffold_4336, whole genome shotgun sequence.
GCAUCCGUAGCUCAACGGAUAGAGCAACUCCCUUCUAAGGAGUAGGUUGUAGGUUCGAUUCCUACCGGAUGCG